AGAGAGAGAGAGAGAAACAAGGGAAGGGGGGAGAGACAAAAUGAGAGAGAAAGAGGGAGAGAGAAAACAUGGGGAGAGAGAGAGAUAAAAGGAGACAAAAAUGGGGAGAGGGGAAAGGGUAGUAUUGGAACAAAAUUUGACUUUAUUAAUUUAACUAAUGGAAUAUGCUCAAAAAAUAGAUGGAGGGACCAACUAGAUGACAGAAUCAAAUAUGGGAGAAUAAA
rnacentral:misc_RNA from 1 species